rnacentral:tRNA from 1 species
GGGUCGAUGCCCGAGUGGUUAAUGGGAACGGAAUGUAACUCCGUCGGCUUACGCCUACGCUGGGUCGAAUCCAGCUCGGCCCACCA